AUUGAACGCUGGCGGCAUGCCUUACACAUGCAAGUCGAACGGUAACGGGCCUUCGGGUGCCGACGAGUGGCGAACGGGUGAGUAAUGUAUCGGAACGUACCUUUCAGUGGGGGAUAACGUAGCGAAAGUUACGCUAAUACCGCAUAUUCUGUGCGCAGGAAAGCAGGGGAUCGCAAGACCUUGCGCUGAUUGAGCGGCCGAUAUCAGAUUAGCUAGUUGGUGAGGUAAAGGCUCACCAAGGCGACGAUCUGUAGCGGGUCUGAGAGGAUGAUCCGCCACACUGGAACUGAGACACGGUCCAGACUCCUACGGGAGGCAGCAGUGGGGAAUUUUGGACAAUGGGGGCAACCCUGAUCCAGCCAUGCCGCGUGAGUGAAGAAGGCCUUCGGGUUGUAAAGCUCUUUCGGCCGGGAAGAAAUCGUAUCAGCUAAUACCUGGUGCGGAUGACGGUACCGGCAUAAGAAGCACCGGCUAACUACGUGCCAGCAGCCGCCGCAGUAA
rnacentral:rRNA from 1 species